ensembl:lncRNA
CAACACUCCAAAGAACAGUCUUCUUACCAUGUUUGGGGCAUGACCUGCUGGAGAUGAGCUCUGCAUAGAAGGACUUGGGUCCUGAUGGACGACAGGUUGGCCAUGAGUCAGCAGCGUGCCUUUGUGGCUGAGAAGGUCAGUGGGAUCCUGAGGUGCCUUAAAAAGAGCAUGGCCAGCAGGUCAAGGGAGGUUGUCCUCCUGCUCUAUUCUGCUCUGCUGAGACCACAUUUAGAAUACUGUGUCCAGUUCUGGCCUUUCCAGUUCAAAAAAGACAGAGAUCUCCUGGAAGGAGCCCAGCGGAGGGCCACAAAGAUGAUUAAGGGCCUGGAGUAUCACCUGUAAGUGGAAAGGCUGAGUAACCUGGGUCUGUCCAGCCUGGCAAGGAGGGGACUGAGGGGUGGAAUUGAUAAAUG